GACGAACGCUGGCGGCGUGCUUAACACAUGCAAGUCGAACGAAGAGCGAUGGAAGCUUGCUUCUAUCAAUCUUAGUGGCGAACGGGUGAGUAACGCGUAAUCGACCUGCCCUUCAGAGGGGGACAACAGUUGGAAACGACUGCUAAUACCGCAUACGACCUAACCUCGGCAUCGAGGAUAGAUGAAAGGUGGCCUCUAUUUAUAAGCUAUCACUGAAGGAGGGGAUUGCGUCUGAUUAGCUAGUUGGAGGGGUAACGGCCCACCAAGGCGAUGAUCAGUAGCCGGUCUGAGAGGAUGAACGGCCACAUUGGGACUGAGACACGGCCCAGACUCCUACGGGAGGCAGCAGUGGGGAAUCUUCCGCAAUGGACGAAAGUCUGACGGAGCAACGCCGCGUGAGUGAUGACGGCCUUCGGGUUGUAAAGCUCUGUUAAUCGGGACGAAAGGCCUUCUUGCGAAUAGUUAGAAGGAUUGACGGUACCGGAAUAGAAAGCCACGGCUAACUACGUGCCAGCAGCCGCGGUAAUACGUAGGUGGCAAGCGUUGUCCGGAAUUAUUGGGCGUAAAGCGCGCGCAGGCGGAUUGGUCAGUCUGUCUUAAAAGUUCGGGGCUUAACCCCGUGAUGGGAUGGAAACUGCCAAUCUAGAGUAUCGGAGAGGAAAGUGGAAUUCCUAGUGUGGCGGUGAAAUGCGUAGAUAUUAGGAAGAACACCAGUGGCGAAGGCGACUUUCUGGACGAAAACUGACGCUGAGGCGCGAAAGCCAGGGGAGCGAACGGGAUAGAUACCCCGGUAGUCCUGGCCGUAAACGAUGGGU
rnacentral:rRNA from 1 species